AGUCGACGAUGAUCUCCAGCUUGCUGGGGGGAUUAGUGGCGAACGGGUGAGUAACACGUGAGUAACCUGCCCUUGACUCUGGGAUAAGCCUGGGAAACUGGGUCUAAUACUGGAUACGACCUUCCCACGCAUGUGGUGUUGGUGGAAAGCUUUUGUGGUUUUGGAUGGACUCGCGGCCUAUCAGCUUGUUGGUGGGGUAAUGGCCUACCAAGGCGACGACGGGUAGCCGGCCUGAGAGGGUGGACGGCCACACUGGGACUGAGACACGGCCCAGACUCCUACGGGAGGCAGCAGUGGGGAAUAUUGCACAAUGGGCGCAAGCCUGAUGCAGCGACGCCGCGUGAGGGAUGAAGGCCUUCGGGUUGUAAACCUCUUUCAGUAGGGAAGAAGCGAAAGUGACGGUACCUGCAGAAGAAGCGCCGGCUAACUACGUGCCAGCAGCCGCGGUAAUACGUAGGGCGCAAGCGUUAUCCGGAAUUAUUGGGCGUAAAGAGCUCGUAGGCGGUUUGUCGCGUCUGCCGUGAAAGUCCGGGGCUUAACUCCGGAUCUGCGGUGGGUACGGGCAGACUUGAGUGAUGUAGGGGAGACUGGAAUUCCUGGUGUAGCGGUGA
rnacentral:rRNA from 1 species